rnacentral:rRNA from 1 species
AGCGAACGCUGGCGGCAGGCUUAACACAUGCAAGUCGAGCGGCCGUAGCAAUACGGCAGCGGCAGACGGGAGAGUAACACGUGGGAACGUACCCUUCAGUACGGAACAACCAAGGGAAACUUUGGCUAAUACCGCGUACGUCCGUAAGGAGAAAGAUUUAUCGCUGAAGGAUCGGCCCGCGUCUGAUUAGCUAGUUGGUGAGGUAACGGCUCACCAAGGCGACGAUCAGUAGCUGGUCUGAGAGGAUGAUCAGCCUCACUGGGACUGAGACACGGCCCAGACUCCUACGGGAGGCAGCAGUGGGGAAUAUUGGACAAUGGGCGCAAGCCUGAUCCAGCCAUGCCGCGUGGAUGAUGAAGGCCCUAGGGUUGUAAAGUCCUUUUAACGGGGAAGAUAAUGACGGUACCCGUAGAAUAAGCCCCGGCUAACUUCGUGCCAGCCGCCGCCGUAA